rnacentral:rRNA from 1 species
AUUGAACGCUGGCGGCAUGCCUUACACAUGCAAGUCGAACGGUAACAGGUCUUCGGAUGCUGACGAGUGGCGAACGGGUGAGUAAUACAUCGGAACGUGCCUAGUAGUGGGGGAUAACUACUCGAAAGAGUGGCUAAUCCCGCAUGAGAUCUACGGAUGAAAGCAGGGGAUCGAAAGACCUUGUGCUACUAGAGCGGCCGAUGGCAGAUUAGGUAGUUGGUGGGAUAAAAGCUUACCAAGCCGACGAUCUGUAGCUGGUCUGAGAGGACGAUCAGCCACACUGGGACUGAGAAACGGCCCAGACUCCUACGGGAGGCAGCAGUGGGGAAUUUUGGACAAUGGGCGCAAGCCUGAUCCAGCAAUGCCGCGUGCAGGAUGAAGGCCUUCGGGUUGUAAACUGCUUUUGUACGGAACGAAAAGCCCCGGGUUAAUACCCUGGGGUCAUGACGGUACCGUAAGAAUAAGCACCGGCUAACUACGUGCCAGCCGCCGCGGUAA